UACGUAGGGUGCAAGCGUUAAUCGGAAUUACUGGGCGUAAAGCGUGCGCAGGCGGCUAUGCAAGACAGAUGUGAAAUCCCCGGGCUCAACCUGGGAACUGCAUUUGUGACUGCAUGGCUAGAGUACGGCAGAGGGGGGAUGGAAUUCCGCGUGUAGCAGUGAAAUGCGUAGAUAUGCGGAGGAACACCGAUGGCGAAGGCAAUCCCCUGGGCCUGUACUGACGCUCAUGCACGAAAGCGUGGGGAGCAAACAGG
rnacentral:rRNA from 1 species